rnacentral:rRNA from 1 species
GUAAAAAGUAGAAUAAUAGAUUUGAAAUAUUUAUUAUAUAGAUUUAAAGAGAUAAUCAUGGAGUAUAAUAAUUAAAUUUAAUAAAUUUAAUAUAACUAUUAAUAGAAUUAGGUUACUAAUAAAUUAAUAACAAUUAAUUUUAAAACCUAAAGGUAAACCUUUAUAUUAAUAAUGUUUUUUUUUUUAUUAUUUUUAUAAUAAGAAUAAUUAUUAAUAAUAAUAAACUAAGUGAACUGAAACAUCUAAGUAACUUAAGGAUAAGAAAUCAACAGAGAUAUUAUGAGUAUUGGUGAGAGAAAAUAAUAAAGGUCUAAUAAGUAUUAUGUGAAAAAAAAUGUAAGAAAAUAGGAUAACAAAUUCUAAGACUAAAUACUAUUAAUAAGUAUAGUAAGUACCGUAAGGGAAAGUAUGAAAAUGAUUAUUUUAUAAGCAAUCAUGAAUAUAUUAUAUUAUAUUAAUGAUGUACCUUUUGUAUAAUGGGUCAGCAAGUAAUUAAUAUUAGUAAAACAAUAAGUUAUAAAUAAAUAGAAUAAUAUAUAUAUAUAUAAAAAUAUAUUAAAAUAUUUAAUUAAUAUUAAUUGACCCGAAAGCAAACGAUCUAACUAUGAUAAGAUGGAUAAACGAUCGAACAGGUUGAUGUUGCAAUAUCAUCUGAUUAAUUGUGGUUAGUAGUGAAAGACAAAUCUGGUUUGCAGAUAGCUGGUUUUCUAUGAAAUAUAUGUAAGUAUAGCCUUUAUAAAUAAUAAUUAUUAUAUAAUAUUAUAUUAAUAUUAUAUAAAGAAUGGUACAGCAAUUAAUAUAUAUUAGGGAACUAUUAAAGUUUUAUUAAUAAUAUUAAAUCUCGAAAUAUUUAAUUAUAUAUAAUAAAGAGUCAGAUUAUGUGCGAUAAGGUAAAUAAUCUAAAGGGAAACAGCCCAGAUUAAGAUAUAAAGUUCCUAAUAAAUAAUAAGUGAAAUAAAUAUUAAAAUAUUAUAAUAUAAUCAGUUAAUGGGUUUGACAAUAACCAUUUUUUAAUGAACAUGUAACAAUGCACUGAUUUAUAAUAAAUAAAAAAAAUAAUAUUUAAAAUCAAAUAUAUAUAUAUUUGUUAAUAGAUAAUAUACGGAUCUUAAUAAUAAGAAUUAUUUAAUUCCUAAUAUGGAAUAUUAUAUUUUUAUAAUAAAAAUAUAAAUACUGAAUAUCUAAAUAUUAUUAUUACUUUUUUUUUUAAUAAUAAUAAUAUGGUAAUAGAACAUUUAAUGAUAAUAUAUAUUAGUUAUUAAUUAAUAUAUGUAUUAAUUAAAUAGAGAAUGCUGACAUGAGUAACGAAAAAAAGGUAUAAACCUUUUCACCUAAAACAUAAGGUUUAACUAUAAAAGUACGGCCCCUAAUUAAAUUAAUAAGAAUAUAAAUAUAUUUAAGAUGGGAUAAUCUAUAUUAAUAAAAAUUUAUCUUAAAAUAUAUAUAUUAUUAAUAAUUAUAUUAAUAAUAUAUAUAAUUAUAUUAUAUAUUAUAUAUUUUUUUUUAUAUAAUAUAAACUAAUAAAGAUCAGGAAAUAAUUAAUGUAUACCGUAAUGUAGACCGACUCAGGUAUGUAAGUAGAGAAUAUGAAGGUGAAUUAGAUAAUUAAAGGGAAGGAACUCGGCAAAGAUAGCUCAUAAGUUAGUCAAUAAAGAGUAAUAAGAACAAAGUUGUACAACUGUUUACUAAAAACACCGCACUUUGCAGAAACGAUAAGUUUAAGUAUAAGGUGUGAACUCUGCUCCAUGCUUAAUAUAUAAAUAAAAUUAUUUAACGAUAAUUUUAUUAAAUUUAGGUAAAUAGCAGCCUUAUUAUGAGGGUUAUAAUGUAGCGAAAUUCCUUGGCCUAUAAUUGAGGUCCCGCAUGAAUGACGUAAUGAUACAACAACUGUCUCCCCUUUAAGCUAAGUGAAAUUGAAAUCGUAGUGAAGAUGCUAUGUACCUUCAGCAAGACGGAAAGACCCUAUGCAGCUUUACUGUAAUUAGAUAGAUCGAAUUAUUGUUUAUUAUAUUCAGCAUAUUAAGUAAUCCUAUUAUUAGGUAAUCGUUUAGAUAUUAAUGAGAUACUUAUUAUAAUAUAAUGAUAAUUCUAAUCUUAUAAAUAAUUAUUAUUAUUAUUAUUAAUAAUAAUAAUAUGCUUUCAAGCAUAGUGAUAAAACAUAUUUAUAUGAUAAUCACUUUACUUAAUAGAUAUAAUUCUUAAGUAAUAUAUAAUAUAUAUUUUAUAUAUAUUAUAUAUAAUAUAAGAGACAAUCUCUAAUUGGUAGUUUUGAUGGGGCGUCAUUAUCAGCAAAAGUAUCUGAAUAAGUCCAUAAAUAAAUAUAUAAAAUUAUUGAAUAAAAAAAAAUAAUAUAUAUUAUAUAUAUUAAUUAUAAAUUGAAAUAUGUUUAUAUAAAUUUAUAUUUAUUGAAUAUAUUUUAGUAAUAGAUAAAAAUAUGUACAGUAAAAUUGUAAGGAAAACAAUAAUAACUUUCUCCUCUCUCGGUGGGGGUUCACACCUAUUUUUAAUAGGUGUUCACCCCUCUUCGGGGUUCCGGUUCCCUUUCGGGUCCCGGAACUUAAAAAAAUGGAAAGAAUUAAAUUAAUAUAAUGGUAUAACUGUGCGAUAAUUGUAACACAAACGAGUGAAACAAGUACGUAAGUAUGGCAUAAUGAACAAAUAACACUGAUUGUAAAGGUUAUUGAUAACGAAUAAAAGUUACGCUAGGGAUAACAGGGUAAUAUAACGAAAGAGUAGAUAUUGUAAGUUAUGUUUGCCACCUCGAUGUCGACUCAACAUUUCCUCUUGGUUGUAAAAGCUAAGAAGGGUUUGACUGUUCGUCAAUUAAAAUGUUACGUGAGUUGGGUUAAAUACGAUGUGAAUCAGUAUGGUUCCUAUCUGCUGAAGGAAAUAUUAUCAAAUUAAAUCUCAUUAUUAGUACGCAAGGACCAUAAUGAAUCAACCCAUGGUGUAUCUAUUGAUAAUAAUAUAAUAUAUUUAAUAAAAAUAAUACUUUAUUAAUAUAUUAUCUAUAUUAGUUUAUAUUUUAAUUAUAUAUUAUCAUAGUAGAUAAGCUAAGUUGAUAAUAAAUAAAUAUUGAAUACAUAUUAAAUAUGAAGUUGUUUUAAUAAGAUAAUUAAUCUGAUAAUUUUAUACUAAAAUUAAUAAUUAUAGGUUUUAUAUAUUAUUUAUAAAUAAAUAUAUUAUAAUAAUAAUAAUAAUUAUUAUUAAUAAAAAAUAUUAAUUAUAAUAUUAAUAAAAUACUAAUUUAUCAGUUAUCUAUAUAAUAUCUAAUCUAUUAUUCUAUAUACU